GGCCAUACAUCAUCAGAGAAACAAAAACAAACACAGUUUUAAGUGUUUCCGUCUUACAAAAAACUCCUCUAAAAACUUCCGGCAAAUUGGCAAAUCGGCAAUUUGCCAAAAAUCAAAAUUUCCGGCAAAUCGGCAACUCGGCAAACCGGCAAUUUGUCGAUUCACCGAAUUUGUGAAAAAAAAUCCAUUGCCGCAACAUCUGAUUCAACGCACGAAAAAUGAAAUAAAUGUCAUUUUCGCAGGGAUAAAAAUACGAAAAUAAAAGUGAUUUUUCGGUGUCUAAGAAGUGCGAUUUGAAGUUUGUUUUCGUUUUUUUCUCGAAAAAGUAUAUAAAUAAUAGUAUCGUUCCAUCCAACGGCGACGGGCGACAUUUGAAAUACGUGGGAGAACGGAAAUCUGAGAUGAGUCGAACGUACUUUUUGACAGAGAGAAGAAGCAUGAAAAUACUAUUGGGAAAAAAAAAUGUAAAUAAAAUAAAUAUGGGAGUGAAGGUCAAACAAAGAAAAGUGAGGAGGAGGAGGAAAUUAAAUGAAUUUUUGAUUUUUCAAAGAAAAUUAGGAAAUUAGGUUAGACACAACAAGAAUCAAAGACAAUUUCUGAAUUUUUGGUGAAUCAUUUUUUAAGGAAAAUAGGAAUUUUAUUAUAGGUGACCUAAUUAUGACAUCACUGGAUGGCCUGGAAAAGUUGGCCGCAAUAAACGUCGCCUAGAAACCUCUGUUGGCUCAUAUGGAAACAGGGGUGGGUGGCGAUUGCCGUUCGGCAAAUUCGGCAAUUGGGCAAAUUGCCAGUUUGCCGAUUUGCCGCUUUGCAGGAUAUCAAUUUGCCGGAAGUUUUUAGAGGGUUUUUCAUAAGACGGAAACACUUAAAACUGUGCCUUUUUGAAAUUUUUUUCCCGUUUUCAUAGAAUUGCCUUACUUUUCAAAAUAGAUGUAGGAAUAUUCAUAGGAUGCGUACGAUUUUGCCGAUUGAAAUUUAAAUUCUGAAAUUUCCAACAAAGAAAUUUGCCGGAAAAUUUUCAAUUCCGACAAUUUGCCGAUUUGCCGGAAAAUUUUCAAUUCCAGCAAUUCGCUUAUUUGCCGGAAAUUUUCAAUUCCAGCAAUUUGCCGGAAGUUUUAAAUUCUGGAAAUUUGCCGGUUUGCCGGAAAUUUUCAAUUCCGGCAAUUUUCCGGUUUGCCGGAAAUUUUCAAUUCCGGCAAUUUUCCGGUUUGCCGGAAAUUUUCAAUUCCGCAAUUUGCUGAUUUGCCGGAAAUUUUCAUUUUCGGAAAUGUUCAAUUCCGGCAAUUUGCCGAUUUGCCAGAAAUUUCAAUUCCGGCAUUUUGACAAUUUGCCGGAAAAAUAGUUUGCCUCCAGAAGAUCAGUGACGUCAUUUGCAGUUUUAUGAAUAGUUAUAGUAGAGAAUAUAUAUAUAUAUAUAUACAUUUUUAGCGUACAAACAGCCUAGAAUCCCCCGCUGUCAAACAUGAAAGAAUUAUGACGUCACUAACUAGCUUUGAAUGAAAAAACGUAACCUAAAAAUUUCCUGAGGAAUUUAUUUUUCGACUUACAAAAAAAUGAGGCCUAGAAACCUUUCACUAAAGUUUUCACUAAAAUUAAAUAAUUAAUGGCGUCACACGUGGCCUAGAAGCCUCAUCUGCAGUAUUUGAAAAACUAAACUACUUAUGUUAAAAAUGACAUGGCCUAGGAAUUAAUUGGAAAAUUCAAAAAAAGUGGCCUACAAAAAUUUAUCUGCCAAUUUUUCAAUAAUAUUUGUUUACCACAAUUUCUAGGCAAGUGCGGAACCUCUUUAAUAGUUCUUUAUGAAAAAAGAAAGAGUCCACAGUUAUUUCCAUCGACGGAAAAAACCGCUCCAAAAGACCUUUGACAAAAUAUGUCUCAUACAUUUACAAGUAGCAGAAGAAGAGAGGGGCCUGUGACGAUCGGUUUUUUAGAGAAAAAAAUGACAUGAAAAUAAAAUGUUCAUAUAUGAUGUUUAUCGAAAAACCAUAGUGACUAAAAGUACGCUGGGACCAGUUUUUUUUUUCCAGUGUAACUUUAUAGAAUGUACGAAACUUGAAAAUUGGAAAAAAGAGGAGAGGAACUUUGACCUGGAAAAUACAUUUUUAAAGAUUGGUAAAAGAAAAUGCCUACGUCUAUCUAGAUGCCUUCCUCUCUGGCUAUGCCUACCUACUUGCCUUCUUGUUGGCAUACACCUGCCUACGGGUCUUCAUGUCAGCCCAGGCCUGCCUACGUGCCUUCAAGUUCGCCUACCCACAUCUACGUGCCUUCAAGGUAACCUACAAGACAGGCGCCUAGGCAGGCAGGCAUGCAGGCAAGCAGGCAAGCGGUUCAUGAAAUAUCGUUCAUGAUUAUGAGAUAUCGUUCAUGAUUAUGAGAUUAUGAGCAAAACAAACCUGAAAUUCACAAAAUAAAAUUAAUAUUGAGUUUUUAACCAAAAUUUACAGAUUCACAUUUUCGAUGAAAAAAAAACACAUUUUUUAAAUGCUCAUAGAAGACGCAGCACAAGUCAUAAGGAGGUUCAAAUAGGGUUUCUUUAAAUUUUUGGCCGUCGAAAUUUUCAUUUAAUCUGUUUUUCAUUUAAGCUUUGCGAAAUUUUAGAAUAAUAAGAAGUAUUGAAAAUAUUUUGAAUUUAGGAUUAAGUCGUUUUUGUGCUCAUUGAGCAAAAUUUAACAUUUGAGAGUGGUGGCCGUGGAACGGAAAACUCUUCCACCACCUUGUUGAAUUUUACAACAAAAAAAAGGUUUUUUCCGACCGUAUAAUUUUUCUAAAACCUUUCCAGAUUCAAAAAUUCCAAAUAAAUUGAAAACAUUUUAAUUAUCAAUUUGGAAGUGCAUAUUUUACAAUGUGCAAAAAAAAUUUUCAAUUUUUAAUUUUUUUUUUGGAAAAAAUUAUAUUGAAAAUACCAAUAAAAACUAAUUAUUGUGCUGGUGAAUUCCAUGAAUUUUCAAAAAAAAAAAAACAUUGAAAAUUGA
ensembl:lincRNA linc-167 ncRNA